rnacentral:rRNA from 1 species
AGUGAACGCUGGCGGUAGGCCUAACACAUGCAAGUCGAACGGCCGCACAGUAAGAGCUUGCUCUUACUGUUGGCGGGUGGCGGACGGGUGAGGAAUACAUCGGCAUCUACUUUUUCGUGGGGGAUAACGUAGAGACACUUACGCUACUAGCGCAUACGACCUACGGGUGGAAUCAGAGGAUAUUCGCACCUUGCCCGAUUCAAUGAGCCGAUGUCGGAUUAGCUAGUUGGUUGGGUAAAGGCCCACCAAGGCGACGAUGCGUAGCUGGUCUGAGAGGAUGAUCAGCCACACUGGAACUGAGACACGGUCCAGACUCCUACGGGAGGCAGCAGUGGGGAAUAUUGGACAAUGGGCGCAAGCCUGACGCAGCAAUACCGCGUGGGUGAAGAAGGCCUUCGGGUUGUAAAGCUCUUUUGUUGGGAAAGAAAAGCAGCAGGUUAAUACCUCGCUGUUCUGACGGUACCCAAAGAAUAAGCACCGGCUAACUUCGUG